CGAGAGAUGUUCAAGCGGAGGGA
rnacentral:piRNA from 1 species